rnacentral:rRNA from 1 species
GUGCCAGCCGCCGCGGUAAUACCGGCAGCCCAAGUGAUGACCGAUCUUAUUGGGCCUAAAGCGUCCGUAGCUGGCUGCGCAAGUCCGUCGGGAAAUCCACUCGCCCAACGAGUGGGCGUCCGGUGGAAACUCCACACCUUGGGACCGGAAGGCUCGAAGGGUACGGCCGGGGUAGGAGUGAAAUCCUGUAAUCCCGUCCGGACCACCGAUGGCGAAAGCACUUCGAGAAAACGGAUCCGACAGUGAGGGACGAAAGCCAGGGUCUCCAACCGGAUUAGAUACCUCGGUAGUCC